rnacentral:rRNA from 1 species
UGGGGAAUCUUGCACAAUGGGGGCAACCCUGAUGCAGCGACGCCGCGUGAGCGAUGAAGCCCUUCGGGGCGUAAAGCUCUUUCGGCCGGAACGAUAAUGACGGUACCGGGAGAAGAAGCUGCGGCUAACCACGUGCCAGCAGCCGCGGUAAUACGUAGGCAGCAAGCGUUGUUCGGAGUUACUGGGCGUAAAGAGUGCGUAGGCGGUUUUCUAAGUUCGGGGUGAAAUCUCCCGGCUUAACUGGGAGGGUGCGCCGAAGACUGGGAAGCUGGAGUGUGGGAAAGGCAGGCGGAAUUCCUGGUGUAGCGGUGAAAUGCGUAGAUAUCAGGAGGAACACCGGCGGUGUAGACGGCUUGCUAGACCAUAACUGACGCUGAGGCACGAAAGCGUGGGUAGCAAACA